rnacentral:rRNA from 1 species
CCAAUAGCGUAUAUUAAAGUUGUUGCAGUUAAAAAGCUCGUAGUUGAAUUCCGGGAUCAAUAUGUCGGUCGUGCUUCGGUACGUACUGGCGUUAUUGGUUUCUCCCUUCUGAAGAACCGCGAUGUCAUUAAUUUGGUGUCGUGGGGAAUCAGGACUGUUACUUUGAAAAAAUUAGAGUGUUUAAAGCAGGCUCGCGCUUGAAUACAUUAGCAUGGAAUAAUGAAAUAGGACGUUUGAUUCUAUUUUGUUGGUUUCUAGGAUCGACGUAAUGAUUAAUAGGGAUAGUUGGGGGCAUUAGUAUUCAAUUGUCAGAGGUGAAAUUCUUGGAUUUAUUGAAGACUAACUACUGCGAAAGCAUUUGCCAAGGAUGUUUUCAUUAAUCAAGAACGAAAGUUAGGGGAUCGAAGACGAUCAGAUACCGUCGUAGUCUUAACCAUAAACUAUGCCGACUAGGGAUCGGAUGAUGUUAAUUUUUUAAUGACUCAUUCGGCGCCUUACG